rnacentral:rRNA from 1 species
UACGUAGGGUGCGAGCGUUGUCCGGAAUUACUGGGCGUAAAGAGCUCGUAGGUGGUUUGUCGCGUUGUUCGUGAAAACUCACAGCUCAACUGUGGGCGUGCAGGCGAUACGGGCAGACUGGAGUACUGCAGGGGAGACUGGAAUUCCUGGUGUAGCGGUGGAAUGCGCAGAUAUCAGGAGGAACACCGGUGGCGAAGGCGGGUCUCUGGGCAGUAACUGACGCUGAGGAGCGAAAGCGUGGGGAGCGAACAGG